ACUCCUACGGGAGGCAGCAGUGGGGAAUAUUGCACAAUGGGGGAAACCCUGAUGCAGCCAUGCCGCGUGUGUGAAGAAGGCCUUCGGGUUGUAAAGCACUUUCAGUAGGGAGGGAAGGUAGUGUAGUUAACACCUGCAUUAUUUGACGUUACCUACAGAAGAAGCACCGGCUAACUCCGUGCCAGCAGCCGCGGUAAUACGGAGGGUGCGAGCGUUAAUCGGAAUUACUGGGCGUAAAGCGCAUGCAGGCGGCCUGUUAAGUCAGAUGUGAAAGCCCGGGGCUUAACCUCGGAAUUGCAUUUGAAACUGGCGGGCUAGAGUCUUGUAGAGGGGGGUAGAAUUUCAGGUGUAGCGGUGAAAUGCGUAGAGAUCUGAAGGAAUACCAGUGGCGAAGGCGGCCCCCUGGACAAAGACUGACGCUCAGAUGCGAAAGCGU
rnacentral:rRNA from 1 species